GCAUAAUUCCUUCCAAGUAUGCAAUGCAACAGUUGAGACCCACGUUACAAUCACACCAUAAAGCUUCUAAUCUUAACCUUGAAUCUCUUAUCUUAAUCAACCAUAAGAAGAAAAUGUGCUAAGAAGUAUUUUGUGCUUUGAGUGUAUAUAUUUUCUCUGCUUGAUCAACGGAAAUGGAUAUCUCAUCUGUAUGAUAAUUCUCUGCUCCAGAAAUAUAAUCCAUGGAAGUGAUGGCCCGGAGACAGCCAACGACGAAAUCAAACUAUGGUUUAAACCCGAGGAGUUGGUCAGUUACACGAACAACGCUGAGAAGUGGAUCUAUGGAGUCAACUGACGACACUCACUCUCUUCAAAAACUUCACGCAACUCAUGUCCCGCAUAAAGAGUGGGUACUUAGAAACAAAAUUAUCAGAACAGUGUCAGCUUCUUUAGUCGGCUGAGAACAUUAUUACGUGGGCAACCACCUGCCGAGCUUGAACUUGAAUAACGCACUACCCACUCGUGACUCUUGAUUACGGCAUCUUAUGCCCUGUGUAAUAAUGUGGUUACACCUCUCUAUUUCACAAGGCAUUUUCAGGGAUUGUUUUACAUUUUUUGAAAAGUCAAAAUCACCUUUUGAAAUUCAGAAAUUGCUUUUAGACAUGUUUGACCAAUUUUAUGAAAAUGUUUAUGCAAAUUAGA
rnacentral:lncRNA from 1 species